CUGCGGAGGAUCAUUACCUAGAGUUUGUGGGCUUUGCCCACUGUCUCUUACCCAUGUCUUUUGAGUACUUACGUUUCCUCGGUGGGCUCGCCCGCCGGUUGGACAAUUUAAACCAUUUGCAGUUGCAAUCAGCGUCUGAAAAACAUAAUAGUUACAACUUUCAACAACGGAUCUCUUGGUUCUGGCAUCGAUGAAGAACGCAGCGAAAUGCGAUAAGUAGUGUGAAUUGCAGAAUUCAGUGAAUCAUCGAAUCUUUGAACGCACAUUGCGCCCCUUGGUAUUCCAUGGGGCAUGCCUGUUCGAGCGUCAUUUGUACCUUCAAGCUCUGCUUGGUGUUGGGUGUUUGUCUCGCCUUGCGCGUAGACUCGCCUUAAAACAAUUGGCAGCCGGCGUAUUGAUUUCGGAGCGCAGUACAUCUCGCGCUUUGCACUCAUAACGACGACGUCCAAAAGUACUUUUUACACUCUUGACCUCGGAUCAGGUAGGGAUACCCGCUGAACUUAAGCAUAUCAAUAAGCGGA
rnacentral:sRNA from 1 species